rnacentral:rRNA from 1 species
UACGAAGGGGGCGAGCGUUGUUCGGAUUUACUGGGCGUAAAGGGCGCGCAGGCGGCUCAUUUUGUCAGGCGUGAAAGCCCCGGGCUUAACCUGGGAACUGCGUUUGAUACGGAUGGGCUAGAGUUCGGGAGAGGAGCGUGGAAUUCCCAGUGUAGAGGUGAAAUGCGUAGAUAUCUGGAGGAACACCGGUGGCGAAGGCGGCAUCCUGGACCGGCAUUGACGCUGAGGCGCGAAAGCCAGGGGAGCAAACGGG